rnacentral:rRNA from 1 species
UACGUAGGGGGCAAGCGUUGUCCGGAUUUAUUGGGCGUAAAGAGCUCGUAGGCGGCUAAGUAAGUCGGACCUUAAAUCCCCAGGCUCAACCUGGGACACGGCCCGAUACUGCUUUGGCUAGAGUCCGGUAGGGGAGCAUGGAAUUCCUGGUGUAGCGGUGAAAUGCGCAGAUAUCAGGAAGAACACCAAUGGCGAAAGCAGCUCUCUGGGACGGUACUGACGCUGAGACGCGAAAGCGUGGGGAGCGAACAGG